AUACUUACCUUGCAGCGGAGACACCAUGAUCAGGAAGGUGGUUUUCCCAGGGCGAGGCAUAUCCAUUACACUUGGGAUGUGCUGACCUCUGUGAUUCCCCCAAAUGCAGGAAACUCGACUGCAUAAUUUGUGGCAGUUGGGGACUGUGUUCAUGCUCUCCCCUG
ensembl:snRNA U1 U1 spliceosomal RNA